UACGAAGGGGGCUAGCGUUGCUCGGAAUCACUGGGCGUAAAGGGUGCGUAGGCGGGUCUUUAAGUCAGGGGUGAAAUCCUGGAGCUCAACUCCAGAACUGCCUUUGAUACUGAGGAUCUUGAGUCCGGAAGAGGUGAGUGGAACUGCGAGUGUAGAGGUGAAAUUCGUAGAUAUUCGCAAGAACACCAGUGGCGAAGGCGGCUCACUGGUCCGGUACUGACGCUGAGGCACGAAAGCGUGGGGAGCAAACAGGAUUAGAAACCCCGGUAGUCC
rnacentral:rRNA from 1 species